CACGACUAGGAUUUCUAGUGGGUACUGCGGUCCCACCGAUUUACAUGCCACCUCACCUAACAGUUAUUGGUGACACAUAAAUUGAUGAAUGUAUAACUCUUGUACAAUGCUUCUCAAGCAUGUUGCAGUGUUACUUGGUCUCUAAGCCAUGAAGACCUCACCUAACAGUUAUUGGUCCCAUUUCUUAGUUAAGUCAUACCCACCGUAUAACCGUAGAAAUUAAGUCGUCAUUGGGUCCUCACCUAACAGUUAUUGGUGCCCAACCCCACCUUUACCCUACAACAUCUCAUGUCUAUAGAGAGGUCCAGUCCUCCGAUGCAACUUGCCCACUGUGUCCAGCCGAGACAAAUCAACAUCAGAAACACCUUAGCAGCUCUACUACGGUGGAAGACCUAUAGACUUAAUAUUGGUUAAUCAUGUCUUAGUGUUUGCAACUUGAGCUCUUCAUAAGAGGUAAUCGAA
rnacentral:lncRNA from 1 species